UAGAUAUUCAUCUGUCCACAGUUAGACAAACUGUCUAUAAAUGGAGAUGAUUUAGUAAUAUAGGUACUCUCACUAGAAGUGGCCGUUAGAUAUUCAUCUGUCCACAGUGAGACAAACUGUCUAUAAAUGGAGAUGAUUUAGUACUAUAGGUACUCUCUCUAGAAGUGGCCGUUAGAUAUUCAUCUGUUCACAGUGAGACAAACUGUCUAUAAAUGGAGAUGAUUUAGUACUAUAGGUACUCUCUCUAGAAGUGGCCGUUAGAUAUUCAUCUGUUCACAGUGAGACAAACUGUCUAUAAAUGGAGAUGAUUUAGUACUAUAGGUACUCUCUCUAGAAGUGGCCG